AGCGAACGCUGGCGGUAUGCCUAACACAUGCAAGUCGAACGGCAGCACCGUAAGAGCUUGCUCUUACGGGUGGCGAGUGGCGGACGGGUGAGGAAUACAUCGUAAUCUACUUUUUCGGGGGGGUUAACGUAGGGAAACUUACGCUAAUACCGCAUACGACCUACGGGUGAAAGCAGUGGAUCUUCGGACCUUGCGCGAUUGAAUGAGCCGCUGUCGGAUUAGCUAGUUGGCGGGGUAAAGGCCCACCAUGUCGACGAUCCGUAGCUGGUCUGAGAGGAUGGUCGGCCACACUGGAACUGAGACACGGUCCAGACUCCUACGGGAGGCAGCAGUGGGGAAUAUUGGACAAUAGGCGCAAGCCUGACCCAGCCAUACCGCGUGGGUGAAGAAGGCCUUCGGGUUGUAAAGCCGUUUUGUUGGGAAAGAAAAGCAGCAGGUUAAUACCCCGCUGUUCUGACGGUACCCAAAGAAUAAGCACCGGCUAACUUCGUG
rnacentral:rRNA from 1 species